CCUGAUCCCAUCGAUUUAGCCGGAGAGAUGAGAUAACCUGAUCCAGAGUAUAUCGCCAGUAGAACUCCAUCAAAAAAUCACUAAAAAAAUCUCCAAAAAUCCCUUCGAGGUAGAACAGUUCGCGGAGCUUCGCCAGGGUUGGCGCAGUCGGUUUAAUAACGAUAAAAUGAAGAGCAUAAUGAAAUAGCCUGUACUUAUAGUUCAGCAAUUUUUACCUUGUGGAUAUUACUAUCCCUUAUUCAUGGAAAAAAAUUUAAUUCUAAGUGUUGUUUCUCAUUGAACAUUAACAAAAGGGAGAAAAAAUAAUGUCCUAAAGGUUUGAGAUAGAUUUGGCACUAGCAUAUAUUUUGGCAUCAUCCACCCAAAACGGUGAGAACUGACUAUACCAAGCAUACCUAGACCACAUGAAGAAAGGAGUGAGACUAGAAACUGCAAACCCACAUUGUCUGUACUGAACAGAUUGAUGACAGACCACUCUAGCAAAGGACAGUAAAUGCCACAUGAGAUGAUCCCCUCAACACAAAGUUGUAAGUAACUUUAGGGAAUUACAGGGUGACUAGAAAAUUGUCUCAAAUGCUCAAUUUAAAAAAAAAAGUCUCAUUUUGAAACUUGUGGCCUGUAUGCUUGUAAAUUAAGAUAACACUGAGUUGUCAAGUAGUGGACUGAUUUGUGGAUGAGAUUUUAAGGCAAAAUACAAUGCAGUAUUCCCCCCAAAGUAACUUGGCACCUCUGUCUUUAAACCUGAGGCAGUUUACAUGAAUUUGGAUAACUAGAUUAAAAUUAAAUUAUUGGACUUUUGCCUAGGAGAACCAAUUAGAAGACUUUAGUCCUGAUACAGCAAGAAAUAGGGAGGCAGCAUAGCCCAGCCUCUUGAAACAACAUAGUGGAAGUUGACAAAGUAAUGGAAUUUUUGGAAAUUAAAUAUGGAAAUUAAACAAAAGGAUUCUAAGAAAUAAAGUCUAGUGGUAAGGGAACUGGACAAAUGACUAGUGUAAUCUAGGAGUGAAGAAAUCCUGAACAGAAUAAUGAUAAUGAGAAUGGAAGUGAAUGAGUAAAUUAAAGAUGUUUCAAAAGGGAAAAUUAUAGAACAUCAUGAUGAGUUGGAUAAAAGGGUGGUGUCAAAAAUUAUGUAUUUUCUGUAUUAGACAAUCAUGGUAUCACUGAAAGUGGACAGUUUAGAGAAGCUGGUUUGAGAAGGAAAGAUGCUGAGUCCCAUUUUUGUAAUACUGAAUUUAAGAUGAUAUGUAGGCAUUUCGUUUGAAAUGCUUUAGUUAAAGGUUGCUGAAUAUAUAGGCCUGGAAUUCUAUGUAAAAGUCAAUCUGCAGAGGUAAAUUUGUCAGUGUCCACAAAAAGCAGAUUAGGUUAGAUAAGCUAAUGGAAACUCUUUAUUGUGGUCAAUAGAUUCCUUCUCUUUAAAAAGAAAUAUAUAAACAUGUUUAUGUAAAUAAAUUAUUUGAUUAGGUAUGUAAUCUUAAAUAAACAUUUCCAAAAUUAAAUUUAAUUUACCUUUUUCCUUGAAGUGUCAUAUCUCAUUUUUGUGCCUAUAAGAAAAUCCCUACUUUUGUAUCAUUUAUGAAGGUCAGUGACUAAAGUGUGUUACUAUUCUUGAAUUUUAACCUCUAUUUCUAUUAAUAAAACAAAGAUCUCUCCCAGUACUAAACUGAAAGAAUAAAAUUGAGAACUUAAAGUCCAAAUAAUUCACUUAGUUAAAACUUUGUAAAAUUGACGUGGCUUUUAUUUCUCAAAUAGAAAGGCAAGUAAUUGAAUUGUGGGAAAUGUACUGGUCUCCAGUUUCAAGAAACAGUACAGCACAAAGACCUGGCAUUCUGGCUGAAGAGUUGUAAUAAUAAACAGAAAUUUGAAAACCAGGAAGAGAAGUUUUUCAAGAGUGCAACUGUGGCAUUUCAAAGGAGGUAUAACAAGAAAUUCCGGAAGCUGGCCAAAAUUGGUUUACAUAUUGAGGUUCCUUAUUUAGAUACUUGUUUUUGAUGGAGAAACACAGUGAUGAGGAAAUGAAGAAGGUUCUAAAAGGUCUGAAACUUUCUCCUUCUCAUCCUAAAUUGGAUUUGCUUCUGAAGAAAACUGUUAGCACCCC